GAAACUUAAAGGAAGUUAGACGGGGCCCGGCACAAGCGGUGGAGUAUGUGGUUUAAUUCGAUGCAACGCGAAGAACCUUACCUGGUCUUGACAUCCCGGAGACCCUUAGGAAACUAGGGGGUGCUUCCAUCUGGAAGAAUCUGGAGACAGGUGCUGCAUGGCUGUCGUCAGCUCGUGUCGUGAGAUGUUGGGUUAAGUCCUGCAACGAGCGCAACCCUUGCCUUUAGUUGCCAGCAGUUCGGCUGGGCACUCUAAAGGGACUGCCGGUGUUAAACCGGAGGAAGGUGGGGAUGACGUCAAGUCCUCAUGGCCUUUAUGACCAGGGCUACACACGUACUACAAUGGCCGAUACAAAGGGCAGCGACACUGCGAGGUGAAGCCAAUCCCGUAAAAUCGGUCUCAGUCCGGAUUGGAGUCUGCAACUCGACUCCAUGAAGUUGGAAUCGCUAGUAAUCGUGGAUCAGCAUGCCACGGUGAAUACGUUCCCGGGCCUU
rnacentral:rRNA from 1 species